GAAAAACCUCAGGCAGCAUUUUCCCAUUGGAUGCCCGGAGGAGCAGCUUUCUUUUGCACUGGAUUCCCAGAGGAAGACCAGGCUCAUCUACACCACUACUGGGCCUUCAGAAGAAAACUACACCCUUCUACAGGAUCCCUGUUCCAACAGAACCACACCUGUCAUUCCAGGAGGACUGCAGCCACCAUUUAAUCAGACUGCUACCGACACCCUGGUGUCAGUUAGAGACAGUACAUUCUUUAGCAGCUCCUUAAAGAACAUUUAAGAGCCCAUCUUCCCACAAGCUGUUCAGGGGAUUUACCUGCCCUGGGAUCUUACUGUUGGUUCUCUGAGGCUGCAGACACCUGAUUUCUGGAAAUACAGUCCUUUCUUUUGUGGUGGGUAUCCAGUUGUCACCAUCUCUUCAGCAGAAGGGAGGAACAGGAUUUUUACUUGCUUUUUGUGCCCUGGGGUAGUAGAUGUUGCCUGGGAUCUUUUCUCUCAGUAUUUUGUCUCACCUCUGAUAAGGUAAAAUCCUUCUUAUCACAGGAUCACUGAUGUUGGAAAAGACAUCCAAGGAUAUAAGCAAAACUUAUCAAUGUUUCAAAUCCAUAUUCAUUAGAGGACACAGCACUUCCAAAUAAAAUGCCAAAUGCUGUAAUAGAGCAAGCUGUAAACAAAAACUUCCCAGCAGAUAAAUUCUUGCUUUAUAUACCAAAAUAUGUUUACCAUUUUGUAUUGCUCAUUGACUGAUUUUCUGCUUUCUAAGGCUAAACAAUAUCUUAAUUAGAAGAAAUACUAAUAGAAGCUAGUUGGAAUUUACUGCAUAUUAAAUUCUAGCUAAUUCCUUUGCUUGCUUUCACAUUCUUUAUUGUCAGUAAUUAUGAAAAUGGAGACUAGGAAAACAAUUUAAUUUUUUCCCUGGAAAUAUUAAUCUCACCCUAAUGCCAAAAAUUAAAGAAUUAAUGAAAUAAUGUAACUGUUGCUUUUACUAUCCCACCACUAGGCCUGUCAUCUAUCAGAUGCCUAAACUCACAUCCUCUCUCCCAGCUUUGACUGCAGAGUGCCAAACUUGUGCCUCACUUGGCUUUUCAAGCUAAUUUACCUCCUUAGUCUGCUCACUGCUGAAUUUGCCCUUGCUGACUCAAUCUUAGUUUAUUUUUUGGCAUAUCCUUCCUGGCAGUCCUUUAUUUAUCAAUAAAGCUUUCCCAGAGGUGCUAAGUGGUAGCAAAUUUCCCAUGGGCAGUUGACAUUUCUCUUUCCCCUGACCAAUUGUCACAUCAGCCUCAGCUUGGGGGGGGGAGUAACAAAAUGUGCUAAAAUUAUCAAUAAUCAUGGAUUGUGAAGAGAGGACACAAUUCUCCCUUAAACUCAGUGUUGCAUAAACACAGUUACUGUUGAACAGCUCAAUGCUGUUUACACUUUCAAGCAGCCAGUUUUAUUUAUUACUCUGCAAUUACCAUUGUGUUUUUACUGUCUGUGGUUUUAAAUUUUUCAUUCAUUCCUCAAGUUCCACAGUGCCUCCAUUUUUAAAAACCUGAGGCAAAGAGAAAGAUACAUUUAAAUCCACCUGCCUCUCUCGGCAAGAUUGUGCCAUGCUACAAACCCAUUACUUUCUGGUCAAAACCUAACUGCCAGAGGCACUGCAUUUUGGGGGCCUGAAUUUUGGGGGCUCUUCAUUGUCUUGCACAGCAAAUACUUGGUGACAAAUGACAGUGGCAAAGGACCUGUGUUAUCAGUAGCAAAAUACCAGUCUUUGUGUGCCUCAGAUCUUGCCCAUUUACUGAUCCAAAUACACUUACAACCUCUUUCUUCAAACUUUUUUGCUGGCAUUUUUACCAGCCCUGAUUUCUCUGGCCAGUUUAUAUAGGUUUAAUCCAAUGAAUGAUGUUUCAUUAAGCCAGUGGUUCUCAAGGGUUUGUAUUCUCUGGAGUGGUUGUGAAUCCCACUUGGAGAGGAGGAGCGUGCAGUGAGAACUGAAUCAAAAAUACAGAUUUUUUUGUGCUUGUAGGGUACAAGCUGAGGUGGGAAUUCCUCUUUGAAAGCCCUCUGAAAGCUCUCUCCAUACCUUGUUCAGGGAAAACUGGGAAAAGAUGGAUCACAUUGGCAGCUCCAGAGCUAUUGUCUUGAUCCCCUCUUGCCUAAUCUUCUUUCACAGAAGAUGUAUUUCUUUGCUGUGGCUUUUUUAUCUGGGACUGGGUGUUACCUGCUGCUUCCCUGGAAGGAGCAAGCCACCUCUGAGACUGCAGUAGAGGCAACUGCAGGAAUUUAUAUUAUCAAGGCACCUGUGGCAAGAGAAGUAGAUGAGUAUGUGGCCCUUUCCUGGCUCUGGAUAGGCUCUGAUUAAUUCAACUUCCUCUGCUGUGGUAUCCAUUCCAUAGGUAGGGCAUGAGUCCAGAAAUCCAAUUUAUCCACAGCACAUUUCACAGCCAGUAAUCCUGGGAGUUAGGAACUGGGAUCUGUGGGCUCAGUUCUUAAUGAACACCAGUUGUCCUUAACUGAGGGAAAUGGGGAAAAUUGAAAAUUGUCUGGGAUGCCUUCCCUUGAGACCUGGUGUUUAUUCUGUGUGACCUGUGGUGUUAUCAUCUAAGGAUUUAGCCCACUUUACGUCAUUUUCCUCUCCCCCUAUUUUUGCUUCCCUUAAAAUAUGAAAAUUAAUGCAAUUUUCCUCACUUAUUUAUUAUUUGCCUUGAUAAUACUGGGCAAUUAGAAUGUCAGAAGAAAAGCUUUAAAUAUUGAAGACUUCAGGUUGACCUUCAAAUCUGUUCCUUGAAAAGAGGUCGAACUUUCUUGCUGAUGACUUUAAUUCAUUGAUGCAUCUUAAUGGAAAAUUGAUUUUUUUUUUCUCCAUAAAGAUCACAUUUACAUAUAAAAAAUGGAAAAUGGUAUUUUAAGGAAAGACUUGCUAACAAAAUGAAAGUGGUAUCUUUGAUGUAUGCCCUGGGUUUCAGAAUUGGAAAUAAUUUUCAUUAAGCACAGGGUCAUGAUAAUGCUGUGUCUUUUCCACUCAUUGAAGUCUACUAUAUUGCAAGGAAGUGAGAGAUAAUUACUAGACAUUAUUUACUCUUGCUUGACAGAAAACUAACAUUAUGAGGUGAGGUCUCUAUACUUAAACUAAAAAUGUGGGGUAAUAUACUCAGGUACAAAUGGGAUGUUGUUCGGGGAAGUUGGCUGGGUUACUCCCAAUUUUCCUUUGCUGCAGACACUCAUCACGGCAGGACCUUUCAGUCUUCUGUAUUGGGGUUAAAAGUCUCACUAUUGCGGCCUUUAAAAUCUGUGUUUCCCUCCUGUAGGCUGCCAUUCUAUCGACAGCUGUGCUGCAGAUGUGGGCAGAUGUGCUGGAGAAGCAGCCUCUGCUCAACUGCGAUGGCCAGCAAGUAACCACCUCCUCUAGCAAAGCAAGCAAUGCAAAAUGACCAUAGCAUUAAAAUAUUUUGUUUUAUUAAAUGUUUCAAAUAACAUAAACAUCAUAUUAACAAUUUUAUGGCUGAGGUUCACGCAAUUUGUGGUUUGACAAUUUUAUCUGAUUUGAGAGCUCAAAAGGUUACGCCUUAACAUUAGAAACUCUGUAAUUAAGAUUUGUAACAGGAAGUUGUCUCGUAGCUAACAAGAGGAUAGAAAUAGCAGAUAGAACCGUAGAAACUCUGGGCAGUGGGAGAGUACAUAUUUUACUAUAAACUGGGGUCUGCCAAGAUCACAAGAAACCUUUUCUAAGUGGCUUCAUAUUCAUCUGAAAAAACAAUUCAUAAUUGGCUUUUAAGCAAUGGAGAAAAGUGGGAUAGUACAUCUUUAUUCCCCAAAUACGCUUUAUUUUCUGGAUUUUAAUUCUUUUUAAGUAAAUCUGUACCACCUUCAUACCAAUAUUUAGCACCAUGUAAUGGGAUGUUCACCAUCUACCUUCUGGGGAAUGUUAUUUGCUCUGUGCUAGAAUAAGGGGUCCCACUGUACUAAAGUUGUACUGAAAGUUCAUCCUUGCUUUCAGCGGUAGUCAAUGCUGGAAGAGCAACAGCAUGCUUUCAACCAUGAAGCUGUAGCUUAUUUACAAAUAAAAGGAUGCCCCCCUCCCUCUUUUCCCAGUUGCUUAUUAUAAAGGCUCGAUUAACAGCUACAGGUUAUGUUCCUUUUACACUGGAAACGAGGGUAUGUUUUAAUUGCUUUGUGGUAAACUGAAGUGGAACAGGGCACUCCAAACAAGCACAGCCUCGCACUGCAGGAUAAGCUCCACUGCUUUUACCAUGUUGUCUGGUUACUGUCUGGUGCUGGAAGAUGCAGCUGUACGCAGAGGCAGAUCUACUCAUGUUUCCUUAGAAAAUGUAAAAGAACACAUUUCUGUAGGAGGUGGGUAAUGGGCCAACAACCUGUGAUUUAUCAGUGGGUCUGUUACCUCUCCCUCCCUACUGUGGAAAUUUUUUUUCUUAACAUGGAACAGAGGAGGGUGGAGGGGUAAGAAAUUAAAUUUUUUUAGGAACAUGCUGAUGAUAAACAGCUUUGGUUGUUGUUCAAAAGCAGUUAAAACACGGAUUAAUUGUAGGGAUUUGUUGUGGUUUGUUUGUUUUGUUAUCACCAUUUAAUUAAAAAAAGAUACUUGUUAAUUGCAAGCUUCUGCCUAUUGCUGAUGGUGAAAUGAUAUUCAGUGUUUUCUUUCAGAUUAUUUUCCCCAAGGCUUGGGUUUCUUCAGAGCACAAACAAAUCCACUGAGAAGCACAAAGUAAACCAUUUAACAUCAGCCACUGCUUGAGGCGAAAACAAGUUCUUAUGCCCAGCUCCCCACGAUGACAGUCACAACUGGCACUCAAGGGCCACUGCCACACAUCAGCCCCUGCACUGGGGCUUUCUGAAAUGUGUCCGUGCUUCAGACAAUCAGCUGGAAACAUCUCAGGCCACAAGAAAAUUGAUUAAAAAUUCAAGUUCCCCUUGAUGUUACAUGUGUGUUAAAACAAGCUAACAGCUUGAUCCACCCCAGGCACGGCCAGAGCUCUGGAGCCAGCUGCUGGCAAUGCUGUGUGGGCUACGAAAGGUCUCCAGAAGAGCAGACACCAUCUGCAACAGCUCUGUUUUCCCAACCCAAACAAUUCUUGCUGUUUUUUUGGGGCUGAGUAGCUUUUCUGCAGCUGUUUCCUUCAGCAAAAUGCUGAAGAGCCUUAAAAUGACACACCACCACUGUUUUGAAUGCAGCACCUUUUUGUGUGUUCAGAAAACCAGGUCUGGAUAUGCUCAGGGGAGCAAAAAAUACACUUCAGGCUUGUGGGGAAAAUACAGCCUGUGCACACAACUGUGAAUGCCUACCGGCAUAUUGUGAGGAAUUCCUGGCAUGAGUAGGGGAGGGGAAGAAAAGGUGGGGCACUUUACUCUCAGGAGAGCUGACUGGUGUUGUAGCAGCUCUGCACCUUUGACUUUUCUGAGACCCAAGCUUUUGUCUAUCACAAGCACAGCCCAAGACUUAUGAUCCCCUUUAGUGUUGCUUCUGCUUGUCCAUAAGGCAGGCACUUAAACAGACUUUCAGGAUAAGUUUUGAAAUGAUUUCCUGAUGUUUGAGUGGAAGUUUGUUUCAAAGUGAUCUACAGUUUUGGUUUGCUUUGUGUUUUAGCCUUUCCUAUGAGGACUGCAAGCUGCCUGAUGACCAAAUGAUGUAACUGAGGGAAUGCACUCUUCCUGGAGGAAUCCCUGCAGCAACCUGCCUCAGCCCCACCAAGGUAGCAAACUACAAUGCCACAACCUUCCCCAAAAUAUUGCUGUGGCAGCACUGGACAGGGAACGCUGGUCCCCAGCCCCUGAAUGCACAGUUUCAGGUUUCCCAGGUGGUGACACCUUGCACAGCAUGCCCUGAAGCUGAAAAACACAAGCACAACAACCAGUUUCACUACAGGAAGCACAUUUCCAAGGCAAGGGCUUCAGAAAUUUGCAUCUUUGUAAACUGGGUGCUUGACCUAUUUAAGCACAGAUCAAAAGCAGUGUGUGACAAAUACAGAGGUCUGUGGCAGGCAAUGCCAGAGCCCUGCCAUACUGGACAGCACACUUCUGGUCAGGUUUUGCUGCAGGCACCCGUAGGCAAUCGCUUGGAAUCAGACAUCUGGGGCAUACAGGGCAAGAUUCAUUCCUUGAACCUCUACAAAGAUUUCUGAACUAGCUUGAAGGGCUCAGAUAUAAAUGCACUGUCAAAAUCUGCUCUUACCUUCAUUACCAAAACCAAGUAUAAUUUUUCAGGAAUGCCGAUUUGCAAAUUCUCUGCUCUUCUCAGCUCACAAAAGAGCAACUGUGUCACUUUGUUGUGUUUUUUGUGUAGCAUUACUUUUUCAGACAGCUGGCAUGACACAAGAUUAGAGAAACUGGGUGCUGCAUUGAAGACUGAUCAUCUUAGAAGUGCUUAUUCAGUGUUAUCUGAAUAAAUAAUAUUUCAUUGUAAGAUUUGACUCUGAAAAUCUGACAGUGCAGUAAAUUUGUUGCUGCUGUUACACCAGCUACUUUCAAGAAUGCUCUCUCUCUCUGGCCCCAUGGGAAUUUAUAAUUCACUACAAGAAACAAGGAUCUCCAACAGCCAUGAGCAUUGGGAAGGUCCUUGGCUUCCUUUCUAAACUGCAAUUGAAUUCUAAAACUCUGAAAAAUCAAAUUCUGAAAAUUCUAAACUGCAGGACAAAGUGUGUUACCUUCACAGCUGCAUGACUGUUCUUACAGAAAAGUCAAAGAAUCACAGAGCUGCUUAGGUCAGAAAAGACCUUUAAGAUCAUUAAAUCCAACAUUUAACCUAUUCUCAAGAAAAACAAGUUUCAGACUUUUUAAUGCCUCCUGACAGGAAUGGCAGUAGAACAGGCCCAAUGAUGUUUCCUCCAUGUGUGUCUUUACACUUUCUUUGCCACUGGAAAUAAUCAACUGCAAAAUGAUUUAGCUAUAAUGAAAGCCCGUAUCUGGCUGGUUUUGAGCGACAGGGAGAGAUUUCCUGCAGGGGAAGAAAGGACCCAUACUUCAAAAAUAAUGACACGUUUCUGUAUUUUUCUUCUGAAUUUUAUGAAGUCUUCUCUUCAUUCUCAGGGUUAAUACAGCAUUUUUCAAGACCCCCAAAAUGUCCCAAGCAAAUGUGAUAAAUGCAAGACCAGGAAUUUUUUAACAGACUGAAACCUUAACCACAGGGAGAAAAGACGACCUCUCUGUAAGAAAGCAGCUUGUGAGUGAGCAGAGUUAACACAGGUACAUGAAUUCUAUGUGUGUCUUCAGGUAUGGCUUGAAAGCAUCAGUCCUCAGCAACAAUACAAGACAAGAUCUGAAAACUGUUCUGUGUGUUCACUGGCCUCAUAUGACUGAUGUUUCCCCCUCCUAAGUUUUGAAAAACUGAGAACAUGUAGUCUUGUUUUUUCAGUAAGGUACCAUUUCACUGAAUGAGAAUGAAUGAACAGCUGCUUUAGGAAGACCUCUUACAGGUUAAUUUCCUCAGCUGGGUCUCCUCUGGUGGCAUUCUCGUCUUCCAAGAUCGUGCUUUAAAUUUGCCUCUCUUGAGGAAAAAGAUGGGAUUAAGAUAGCCUAAGGAGUAGUACAUGGGAAGACAAUGACUUUGGUUAAUCCUUACUCUUGCACAUCAGACUUUAGAUGAGAGGUCCCAGCUUGACCUGUUCCUAAAGCUUCAGUUAUGGCUUUAAAAAUUGGCCUG